rnacentral:rRNA from 1 species
GUAGGGUGCAAGCGUUAAUCGGAAUUACUGGGCGUAAAGCGUGCGCAGGCGGUUUUGUAAGUCUGACGUGAAAUCCCCGGGCUCAACCUGGGAAUUGCGUUGGAGACUGCAAGGCUGGAGUCUGGCAGAGGGGGGUAGAAUUCCACGUGUAGCAGUGAAAUGCGUAGAGAUGUGGAGGAACACCGAUGGCGAAGGCAGCCCCCUGGGUCAAGACUGACGCUCAUGCACGAAAGCGUGGGGGGAGCAAACAGGAUUAGAUACCCUGGUAGUCCACGCCCUAAACGAUGUCUACUAGUUGUCGGGUCUUAAUUGACUUGGUAACGCAGCUAACGCGCGAAGUAGACCGCCUGGGGAGUACGGUCGCAAGAUUA